rnacentral:lncRNA from 1 species
AAAUAUCUACAACUCUAAUCCAUAAGCAAGUGAGAACGAGAAAUUUAACAGCAACGUGGAGUCAAAAACCCAAACUGCUGCUGGGACACGAUGCUUGAAGAAGAGCAAGACCCAUCAGUUCUUUUUCUUGAGUAAAAGUACUAUGUUUAGCAUCAAAGAAUUUCAACAAGAAACUACAAGAGCUAGGAACGUAAGUCUUCUGGAAGAAUUUUGGUUUCAUAUUGUUAACUCUUCUAUUGUAAUACUAGAAUUGAGUUUGGUAUUUAACUAUGGUGGGUAACAGUAACAUGGAUUUUCAUGGUGAAAUAUACUAGUUCUUGAAUAACCAUGAACCUGGAAUUUAAAAAAAAGAAAAGGAAAAGCUAUUAAGAGUUAGUUUUGAUAGCAUUAUAGAUAGUCUAACAGAUGAUAUUUUGAGUAACACUGAGACAUGGGUAAUCGGAAUUGUGACUCGCUAUCACUUAAACUUACUGAAUUUUGCGAUUAGCAGACGGUAACAUGAACUUAUAUUAAUUUAUAGAUUUCUCAUGAAUUGAGCAUUUGGAUCGAUAAAAAGUCGUACAAAUUGCUUGAGGUGUUUGGUAUUGCGACACGAGUACGGUGAGUAGUAAUUUUACCGCAAUUUGUGUUUUCAUAACUCGCAUGAUUUACACAUAAUUUUGAUAUGAAUAUGUUACCGAUUAUUUUAAGUUGCAUGUGGGACAAGUCUUUACGCGAUAUGAUACCGAAAUAGUUGUUUGAGAUAAUCACCGUUGUUUUAAAUAUUCUUGUUGUCACUGGAUAUGUUUUACCGUUACUUGAAUUUACUGUUACCGAAAAAAAAUUACAUGAUUUUAUAAGAACCGAAAUGCCUUAUGUUGUUUUAAAAUAUUUUCCUAUGAGUAUAUACGGAUAUAGAGACAAGUAUAAAUGGGAGUACACUUUGAAGGAUCCCGUAGUUAAUGGCGGGUUCGUUAGACCUGGCAUCUUGUAUUUACAGAUUACCGAUUACAGUUAUAGCCUCNNNNNNNNNNNNNNNNNNNNNNNNNNNNNNNNNNNNNNNNNNNNNNNNNNNNNNNNNNNNAUAUUUGNCNCCUUUUACGAAGGGGUCCACACAGAGAUAUAGAUUACAUGAUCCUUUCUUGGAAACCUCCCAAACAUAAGGCUUGAUAUGACAGUGUUUAUAGAGUUUAUUACUGAAUUAUUGAUUUGUUCCUGCUCACAUGAAAACAGACAAGAUUGAUUAUUGUUACCGAAUCUGAAAAAGGGCAUUUAUUUCAUGAUAUUUUCCGAUACUAUACAAGCAUGUUUUUGACUUGUCCUCAUUAAAAACCGGUUGUGGUUAAGUGUUAUUACUCACUGAACUAGCAACUCACUCCCCGCUAUUCUUUUUUUUACAGAGACAAUAGUUGACGCGAGUAAGGAUUUCACUAAUUAGAGUAUACGAGUUAAUAGUUCCUGGUGAGCCCCGCACUUGUUCGCUUUCGCGAAGAGUUUAUUUAUUUGUUAUCGUUUUUUCUUUUGAACUCUUAGAGUCGCUCCAUAGUCAUUUUUAUUAGUCUUAUGGGAUAUUCAUUCGAUAUAUUGGGUUAGUUAUUAGUAUUGCAUUGUUUUAGAUUGAGUUUAGUAUUAUUAUGUUGAUAACAUUUGUAAUCUCUUUUUGGA